rnacentral:rRNA from 1 species
GAACGCUGGCGGCGUGCCUAAUACAUGCAAGUCGAGCGGACAGACAGGAGUGCUUGCACUCCUUGAAGUCAGCGGCGGACGGGUGAGUAACACGUGGGUAACCUACCUAUAAGACUGGGAUAACUUCGGGAAACCGGAGCUAAUACCGGAUAAUAUGUUUCACCUCAUGGUGAAACAGUGAAAGACGGUUUCGGCUGUCACUUAUAGAUGGACCCGCGGCGCAUUAGCUAGUUGGUGAGGUAACGGCUCACCAAGGCGACGAUGCGUAGCCGACCUGAGAGGGUGAUCGGCCACACUGGGACUGAGACACGGCCCAGACUCCUACGGGAGGCAGCAGUAGGGAAUCUUCCGCAGUGGACGAAAGUCUGACGGAGCAACGCCGCGUGAGUGAAGAAGGUUUUCGGAUCGUAAAACUCUGUUGUAAGGGAAGAACAAGUACGUUAGUAACUGAACGUACCUUGACGGUACCUUACCAGAAAGCCACGGCUAACUACGUGCCAGCAGCCGCGGUAAUACGUAGGUGGCAAGCGUUAUCCGGAAUUAUUGGGCGUAAAGCGCGCGUAGGCGGUCUCUUAUGUCUGAUGUGAAAGCCCCCGGCUCAACCGGGGAGGGUCAUUGGAAACUGGGAGACUUGAGUGCAGAAGAGGAGAGUGGAAUUCCGUGUGUAGCGGUGAAAUGCGCAGAGAUAUGGAGGAACACCAGUGGCGAA